GACGAACGCUGGCGGCGUGCUUAACACAUGCAAGUCGAACGGAAAGGCCCUGCUUUUGUGGGGUGCUCGAGUGGCGAACGGGUGAGUAACACGUGAGUAACCUGCCCUUGACUUUGGGAUAACUUCAGGAAACUGGGGCUAAUACCGGAUAGGAGCUCCUGCUGCAUGGUGGGGGUUGGAAAGUUUCGGCGGUUGGGGAUGGACUCGCGGCUUAUCAGCUUGUUGGUGGGGUAGUGGCUCACCAAGGCUUUGACGGGUAGCCGGCCUGAGAGGGUGACCGGCCACAUUGGGACUGAGAUACGGCCCAGACUCCUACGGGAGGCAGCAGUGGGGAAUAUUGCACAAUGGGCGGAAGCCUGAUGCAGCAACGCCGCGUGCGGGAUGACGGCCUUCGGGUUGUAAACCGCUUUCGCCUGUGACGAAGCGUGAGUGAUGGUAAUGGGUAAAGAAGCACCGGCUAACUACGUG
rnacentral:rRNA from 1 species